rnacentral:rRNA from 1 species
AUUGAACGCUGGCGGCAUGCUUUACACAUGCAAGUCGAACGGUAACAGGCCUUCGGGUGCUGACGAGUGGCGAACGGGUGAGUAAUGCAUCGGAACGUGCCCAAUCGUGGGGGAUAACGUAGCGAAAGUUACGCUAAUACCGCAUAAGCCCUGAGGGGGAAAGUGGGGGACCGCAAGGCCUCACGCGAAUGGAGCGGCCGAUGUCAGAUUAGCUAGUUGGUGGGGUAAAGGCUCACCAAGGCGACGAUCUGUAGCGGGUCUGAGAGGAUGAUCCGCCACACUGGGACUGAGACACGGCCCAGACUCCUACGGGAGGCAGCAGGUGGGGUAAUUUUGGACAAUGGGCGCAAGCCUGAUCCAGCCAUGCCGCGUGCGGGACGAAGGCC